rnacentral:rRNA from 1 species
UACGAAGGGGGCUAGCGUUGUUCGGAAUUACUGGGCGUAAAGCGCACGUAGGCGGAUAUUUAAGUCAGGGGUGAAAUCCCGCAGCUCAACUGCGGAACUGCCUUUGAUACUGGGUAUCUUGAGUAUGGAAGAGGUAAGUGGAAUUCCGAGUGUAGAGGUGAAAUUCGUAGAUAUUCGGAGGAACACCAGUGGCGAAGGCGGCUUACUGGUCCAUUACUGACGCUGAGGUGCGAAAGCUAGGGGAGCAAACGGG